rnacentral:rRNA from 1 species
GAGUUUGAUCCUGGCUCAGAUUGAACGCUGGCGGCAGGCCUAACACAUGCAAGUCGAGCGGUAACAUUUCUAGCUUGCUAGAAGAUGACGAGCGGCGGACGGGUGAGUAAUGCUUGGGAACAUGCCUUGAGGUGGGGGACAACAGUUGGAAACGACUGCUAAUACCGCAUAAUGUCUACGGACCAAAGGGGGCUUCGGCUCUCGCCUUUAGAUUGGCCCAAGUGGGAUUAGCUAGUUGGUGAGGUAAUGGCUCACCAAGGCGACGAUCCCUAGCUGGUUUGAGAGGAUGAUCAGCCACACUGGGACUGAGACACGGCCCAGACUCCUACGGGAGGCAGCAGUGGGGAAUAUUGCACAAUGGGCGCAAGCCUGAUGCAGCCAUGCCGCGUGUGUGAAGAAGGCCUUCGGGUUGUAAAGCACUUUCAGUCAGGAGGAAAGGUUAGUAGUUAAUACCUGCUAGCUGUGACGUUACUGACAGAAGAAGCACCGGCUAACUCCGUGCCAGCAGCCGCGGUAAUACGGAGGGUGCGAGCGUUAAUCGGAAUUACUGGGCGUAAAGCGUACGCAGGCGGUUUGUUAAGCGAGAUGUGAAAGCCCCGGGCUCAACCUGGGAACUGCAUUUCGAACUGGCAAACUAGAGUGUGAUAGAGGGUGGUAGAAUUUCAGGUGUAGCGGUGAAAUGCGUAGAGAUCUGAAGGAAUACCGAUGGCGAAGGCAGCCACCUGGGUCAACACUGACGCUCAUGUACGAAAGCGUGGGGGAGCAAACAGGAUUAGAUACCCUGGUAG